GACGAACGCUGGCGGCGUGCCUAAUACAUGCAAGUUGAGCGCUGAAGGUUGGUACUUGUACCAACUGGAUGAGCAGCGAACGGGUGAGUAACGCGUGGGGAAUCUGCCUUUGAGCGGGGGACAACAUUUGGAAACGAAUGCUAAUACCGCAUAAAAACUUUAAACACAAGUUUUAAGUUUGAAAGAUGCAAUUGCAUCACUCAAAGAUGAUCCCGCGUUGUAUUAGCUAGUUGGUGAGGUAAAGGCUCACCAAGGCGAUGAUACAUAGCCGACCUGAGAGGGGGGUCGGCCACAUUGGGACUGGGACACGGCCCAAACCCCUACGGGGAGCAGCAGGAGGGGAUCUUCGGGAAUGGAGGAAAGUCUGACCGAGCAACGCCGCGGGAGGGAAGAAGGGUUUCGGAUCGGAAAAAUCUGUUGGUAGGGAAGAACGAUGGUGAGAGUGGAAAGCUCAUCAAGUGACGGUAACUACCCAGAAAGGGACGGCUAACUACGUG
rnacentral:rRNA from 1 species